rnacentral:piRNA from 1 species
CAGGAGUUAUACGUCAGAAAUACCUCAGA